CAACUCAAUGAUUUUGAGUUGGUCUCAUUUUUACUUGUCGGCAUGGGAUCUGAAUUUGAUCCUUUUGUAUCCUCUGUCACAACUCACGUGGACCCUAUGACCAUUGAAGAAUUAUAUGGUCACCUCUUAACCCAUGAGA